rnacentral:rRNA from 1 species
UACGUAGGGUGCGAGCGUUGUCCGGAAUUAUUGGGCGUAAAGAGCUUGUAGGCGGUUUGUCGCGUCUGCCGUGAAAAUCCGGGGCUCAACCCCGGACUUGCGGUGGGUACGGGCAGACUAGAGUGUGGUAGGGGAGACUGGAAUUCCUGGUGUAGCGGUGAAAUGCGCAGAUAUCAGGAGGAACACCAAUGGCGAAGGCAGAUCUCUGGGCCGUAACUGACGCUGAGGAGCGAAAGCAUGGGGAGCGAACAGG